UACAGAGGGGGCAAGCGUUAUUCGGAAUUAUUGGGCGUAAAGGGCGCGUAGGCGGCUUGGCAAGUGGAAGGUGAAAUCCCUCGGCUUAACCGAGGAACUGCCCUCCAAACUGCUUGGCUUGAGACCGGGAGAGGUGAGUGGAAUUCCACGUGUAGCGGUGAAAUGCGUAGAGAUGUGGAGGAACACCAGUGGCGAAGGCGGCUUGCUGGUCUGUAACUGACGCUGAGGCGCGAAAGCGUGGGGAGCAAACAGG
rnacentral:rRNA from 1 species